UGAUUCAUAUUUGGAUUCAAUAAAGUCAGAACCAACCAUACAAAGAAGAUUUGCAUGGGCCCUAAGCAAGGAUAACACCAAAAUUUGUGAAAUAAAAAAUAAAAUA
ensembl:snRNA Gm23125 U6 spliceosomal RNA